rnacentral:rRNA from 1 species
UACGAGGGGGGCGAGCGUUGUUCGGAAUCACUGGGCGUAAAGCGCACGUAGGCGGACUCUUAAGUCGGUGGUGAAAUCCUGGAGCUCAACUCCAGAACUGCCUUCGAUACUGAGAGUCUCGAGUCCGGGAGAGGUGAGUGGAACUGCGAGUGUAGAGGUGAAAUUCGUAGAUAUUCGCAAGAACACCAGUGGCGAAGGCGGCUCACUGGCCCGGUACUGACGCUGAGGUGCGAAAGCGUGGGGAGCAAACAGG